rnacentral:rRNA from 1 species
UACAGAGGUCCCAAGCGUUGUUCGGAUUCAUUGGGCGUAAAGGGUGCGUAGGUGGCGUCGUAAGUCGGGUGUGAAAUUUCGGAGCUCAACUCCGAAACUGCAUUCGAUACUGCGGUGCUUGAGGACUGGAGAGGAGACUGGAAUUUACGGUGUAGCAGUGAAAUGCGUAGAGAUCGUAAGGAAGACCAGUGGCGAAGGCGGGUCUCUGGACCAUAGCUGACGCUGAGACACGAAAGCGUGGGUAGCAAACAGG